rnacentral:rRNA from 1 species
AGCGAACGCUGGCGGCAGGCUUAACACAUGCAAGUCGAGCGCCCCGCAAGGGGAGCGGCAGACGGGAGAGUAACACGUGGGAACGUACCUUUCAGCUCGGGACAACCAAGGGAAACUUUGGCUAAUACCGGAUACGCCCGUAAGGGGAAAGAUUUAUCGCUGAAAGAUCGGCCCGCGUCUGAUUAGCUAGUUGGUGAGGUAAUGGCUCACCAAGGCUACGAUCAGUAGCUGGUCUGAGAGGAUGAUCAGCCUCACUGGGACUGAGACACGGCCCAGACUCCUACGGGAGGCAG